CAGAGAAGUACAUGAAACCAAGUUCUCAAAAGUUUGUUUUGUUCUGCCAGUACCUGAGACCACUCUCAGAUAUAUAGGUCCCCAGCUCUGAACCACUUUGUCAAUAUUAAUAUAGAACAACAUUAUCUUUGUAACACAUUUGCACUCUGAUUCCUUUGUGAACAGAGUUAAUGUGUCCUCUGACCCACAAUGAUUUUAGGGUUGCCACUUGAGCUGAACAGGGCCUUCCCUCCCAUCUUCCAAUGCAGAAACUCUGGUUGGGCAUCCAGAGUAACUCAGCAACAUAACUGCCAUCACAAACAUGUGCAGAAAGAGUUCUGACCUGCUGUGUUGGAAGCCAGAGGAUGGAAUAGUUUUGUAGCUCUCCUUUGUGGCUUAUUCCUUACUCAACAGCCAUUCUGCUUUUGACCUGAAAAACUGGGCCAGGGAGAUUCUGUACCAUCAGGCAUAUUUCUUAUUGGGCUGUGAAAGUCUAGCAUAUGGCUAAUUACAAUUUACACCUCCUUAAGUGCUCUAACAAUCCACUAAAGACUGUUUUGUCUCUUUGGUUUACUGUUUGUAGCACUUUUUGCAGGCAAAGCAGUAAACAA
rnacentral:lncRNA from 1 species